rnacentral:rRNA from 1 species
GACGAACGCUGGCGGCGUGCUUAACACAUGCAAGUCGAACGGUGAAGCGCCUUCCUUUUUGGUGGGUGUGGAUGAGUGGCGAACGGGUGAGUAACACGUGAGUAACCUGCCCCCUUCUUCUGGAUAACCGCAUGAAAGUGUGGCUAAUACGGGAUAUUCUGAGUCUGUCGCAUGAUGGGUCUGGGAAAGAUAUUGUUUCGGUGGGGGAUGGGCUCGCGGCCUAUCAGCUUGUUGGUGGGGUGAUGGCCUACCAAGGCGGUUACGGGUAGCCGGCCUGGGAGGGUGAACGGUCACACUGGGACUGAGACACGGCCAAGACUCCUACGGGAGGCAGCAGGGGGGAAUAUUGCACAAUGGGCGCAAGCCUGAUGCAGCGACGCCGCGGGAGGGAUGGAGGCCGUCGGGUUGUGAACCUCUUUCGCCAGUGAAGCAGGCCUGCCUCGUUUGUGGGUGGGUUGACGGUAGCUGGAUAAGAAGCGCCGGCUAACUACGUG